rnacentral:misc_RNA from 1 species
UCCGUAGGUGAACCUGCGGAAGGAUCAUUAAAAAUAUCACAUUUGUUGUGAUUUAAUAUCAUCCUACCUUUGUGAAUUGUUUUGUUUGAAAUUUAUGUUGUCUAUCCUGAUUAUGAAAGAAAGUUGUAAAGACUUUUUUUCAUUCUAGGAAUAGCUUUCAUAGACAUUUUUUAAAUUAAACUUUUUGUAUUCAUUGUCUAAAUUUAUUUUAAAUAGUUUAAAACAACUUUUGACAAUGGAUCUCUUGUUCUCGCAACGAUGAAGAACGCAGCAAAAUGCGAUAAGUAAUGUGAUUGCAGAAUACGUGAAUCAUCAAAUUUCGAACGCAUAUUGCACUUUUUAGUUUACUAAAAAGUAUGUCUGUUUGAGUAUCAGUAAAUAUUCUCAUAAAACUAUUGUUUUAUGGUUAUGAGUGUUUUACAACGAUAACAAGUUGUUUCACUUUAAUUGAUUUUUAAAAGCCAAUUUGGUUUUAUUUUAAAUGGACAAAUUUCCCGUAAAAGGAAUAACUUUCAGUUUAAAGUAAAACUUAAUUGACCUACAAAAAGGAAUUAAUUAUAAACUAACUUGAUCUCAAAUCAGAUAAGAGUACCGCUGAACUAAGCAUAUCAAUAAGCGAGGAAAGAAACUAACAAGGAUUCCUUAGUAACGGCGAGUGAAGCGGAAGGCUCAAUUUGAAAUCUUCAAGGUUCUACCUUGACGAAUUGUAGUUUAAAGAAGUGUUUCUGUUAGUGGAGUGGCAAAGUUCUUUGGAAUAGACAUCAUAGAGGUGAGAAUCCGUAUUUGGUCAUUCCUUCUAGCUUGUGAUACACUUUCAAAGAGUCGGAUUUUGGGAAUGCAGUCCAAAUGGUGGUAAUUCAUCUAAAGCUAAUAUUGGCGAGAGACGAUAGCGAACAGUACCGUGAGGAAAGAUGAAAGAACUUGAAAGAGAGUUAACAGUACGUGAAUUGUCAAAGGGAAGCGUUUGACACCAGUGUUGUUUUCCGAAAAUCAAUUAUAAAUGUUUGUUUCUGAGGAGUGAUGACUUCAUCGGCUUCCUUCUCUCUUCACGAACUUUGUAAUGCACUUUCGGUUAACAAGUCAACAUCAAUUUCUUUGUUGUAAAAGAGUAUUCGGAAGGUGGCUUCUUUUCGGAGAAAGUGUUUAUAGCCUAUACUUCUACAAUCGGAGAGAUUGAGGUCUGCAGCGUAGAUCCUUCGGGUUAGAUACACUUGUGCUAAGUUAUAGCUUUCAUAGACAACUUGUUGACUAUGUUAGUCUUGUAGCUUACUCGCUUGUGCUAUUUACCUACGCUUAGGAUGUU